rnacentral:lncRNA from 1 species
UUUAGCCUCACUUUGCCCUGCGUCCGGUGGAAACCAUGCCCGUGACGGCCUCUGCUUUAAGCUCCGUGAGGGAAGAAGGGGAUUGAUUGUAGAGUGUCCCUGUUCUCACCAGCGUGACAAGCAUCACCACCAGGAUGCAAGAAGGACCUAUGAAAAGCUGGAGAUGGCGGCAUGCAUCUGGAAUCCCUGCACUCUGUUCAUGGGCCGAGAAGUAUAGAAAGGAAAAUGCCCCAGGAAGCUUUACAUGAGAAUGUAACACAGCGGCAGAAAUCACAAGAUACUUUGCCUCAAAUGAGAUAAAAGAUGAGAACUAACUC